UGGGGAAUUUUGCACAAUGGGGGAAACCCUGAUGCAGCGACGCCGCGUGAUUUAGAAGGCCUUCGGGUUGUAAAAAUCUUUUGUAUGGGAAGAAAAUGACAGUACCAUACGAAUAAGGACCGGCUAAUUCCGUGCCAGCAGCCGCGGUAAUACGGAAGGUUCGGGCGUUAUCCGGAUUUAUUGGGUUUAAAGGGAGCGUAGGCCGUUUGGUAAGCGUGUUGUGAAAUGUAGGAGCUCAACUUCUAGAUUGCAGCGCGAACUGUCAGACUUGAGUGCGCACAACGUAGGCGGAAUUCAUGGUGUAGCGGUGAAAUGCUUAGAUAUCAUGACGAACUCCGAUUGCGAAGGCAGCUUACGGGAGCGCAACUGACGCUAAAGCUCGAAGGUGCGGGUAUCGAACAGG
rnacentral:rRNA from 1 species